rnacentral:rRNA from 1 species
UAACAAGGAUUCCCCUAGUAACUGCGAGUGAAGCGGGAAGAGCUCAAAUUUAAAAUCUGGCGGUCUCUGGCCGUCCGAGUUGUAACCUGAAGGAGCGUUUUCCGCGUCGGACCGUGUACAAGUCUCCUGGAACGGAGCGUCAUAGAGGGUGAGAAUCCCGUCCAUGACACGGACGCCCGAUGCUUUGUGAUACGCUCCCGAAGAGUCGCGUUGUUUGGGAAUGCAGCGCAAAAUGGGUGGUAAAUUCCAUCUAAAGCUAAAUAUUGGCGAGAGACCGAUAGCGAACAAGUACCGUGAGGGAAAGAUGAAAAGCACUUUGGAAAGAGAGUUAAACAGUACGUGAAAUUGUUGAAAGGGAAACGCUUGAAGUCAGUCGCGUCUCGUGGAACUCAGCCUUGCUUCGGCCUGGUGUACUUUCCGCUAGACGGGUCAACAUCAAUUUUGGCCGGUGGACAAGGGCGAGGGGAAUGUAGCGUUGUUUCGGCGACGUGUUAUAGCCCCUUGUCGCAUACACCGGCUGGGAUUGAGGACCGCAGCGCGCCCUUGUGGCCGGGGGUUCGCCCCACGUACCGCGCUUAGGAUGUUGGCAUAAUGGCUUUAAGCGACCCGUCUUGAAACACGGACCAAGGAGUCUAACAUGCUUGCGAGUGUUCGGGUGGAGAACCCUUGCGCGUAAUGAAAGUGAAAGUUGGGAGCCUCCGCGAGGGGGUGCACCGACGCCCGGCCCUGACGUUCUCUGACGGUGCUGCGGUAGAGCAGGUAUGUUGGGACCCGAAAGAUGGUGAACUAUGCCUGAAUAGGGCGAAGCCAGAGGAAACUCUGGUGGAGGCUCGUAGCGAUUCUGACGUGCAAAUCGAUCGUCAAAUUUGGG